UUUGGUGGUUUAACGCUAGGGUCACACCUCUUCCCAUUCCGAACAGAGAAGUUAAGCCUAGUAGUGGCGAUGAUACUCGUCAAGGGAAAAGUAGCUAGCCGCCAAAA
rfam:Candidatus Nomurabacteria bacterium RIFCSPHIGHO2_12_FTLL_37_29 rifcsphigho2_12_scaffold_6496, whole genome shotgun sequence.